GUCGGGAUAGCUCAGCUGUAGAGCAAGA
rnacentral:tRNA from 1 species